rnacentral:rRNA from 1 species
UGUCAAGUUUCAAAGAGCACACGGUGGAUGCCUUGGCAAUAGGAGCCGAAGAAGGACGUAGCAAUCUGCGAUAAGCCUCGGGGAGCCGAUAAGCGGGCCCUGAUCCGAGGAUUUCCGAAUGGGGAAACCCAGCCAGACUCGAUCUGGUUACUCCUGCCUGAAUGUAUAGGGCAGGUAGAGGGAACGUGGGGAAGUGAAACAUCUCAGUACCCACAGGAAGAGAAAACAACAGUGAUUCCGUUAGUAGUGGCGAGCGAACGCGGAAGAGGCUAAACCAAUCAUGUGUGAUAGCCGGCAGGCGUUGCAUGUUUGGGGUUGUGGGACUUUUCAGCAGUUCUGCCGAUCUGCAAGAGUAGGUAUGUUGUGUAGACGAAUGAUCUUGAACGAUCAGUCAUAGAGGGUGCGAACCCCGUAGUCGAAACGCUGCAGCCGCUCGAGAAGUAUCCCAAGUAGUACGGAACCCGUGAAAUUCUGUGCGAAUCUGCGAGGACCACCUCGUAAGCCUAAAUACUACCUAUUGACCGAUAGCGGACAAGUACCGUGAGGGAAAGGUGAAAAGUACCCCGGGAGGGGAGUGAAAUAGUACCUGAAACCGUGUGCUUACAAACCGUUGGAGCCAGCUUGUUCUGGUGACAGCGUGCCUUUUGAAGAAUGAUCCUGAGAGUUAGCGAUCUGUGGCGAGCUUAACCCGAGAGGGGUAGGCGUAGCGAAAGCGAGUCUGAAUAGGGCGAUUCAGUCGCAGGUCCUAGACCCGAAGCGAGGUGAUCUAUCCAUGGCCAGGUUGAAGCGACGGUAAGACGUCGUGGAGGACCGAACCCACUUCAGUUGAAAAUGGAGGGGAUGAGCUGUGGAUAGGGGUGAAAGGCCAAUCAAACCUCGUGAUAGCUGGUUCUCUCCGAAAUGCAUUUAGGUGCAGCGUCUUGUGUUUCUCUCUGGAGGUAGAGCUACUGGAUGGCCGAUGGGCCCUAAAAGGUUACUGACGUCAGCCAAACUCCGAAUGCCAGAGAGUCAGAGCAAGGCAGUGAGACUGCGGGGGAUAAGCUUCGUAGUCGAAAGGGAAACAGCCCAGACCACCAACUAAGGACCCCAAGCGUUUGCUAAGUGGAAAAGGAUGUGGAGUUGCACAGACAACCAGGAUGUUGGCUUAGAAGCAGCCACCAUUAAAAGAGUGCGUAAUAGCUCACUGGUCAAGUGAUUCCGCGCCGACAAUAUAACGGGGCUCAAGCAGACCUCCGAAGUUGUGGCAUUUGUACAUUGCCCGGCCGUAAGGUCCAGGCGUACAGAUGGGUAGGAGAGCGUCGUGUGGCGAGCGAAGCGGCGGUGUGAACCAGCCGUGGAUGCCACAC